UACAGAGGUCCCGAGCGUUGUUCGGAUUCAUUGGGCGUAAAGGGUGCGUAGGCGGCGGGGAAAGUCUGAUGUGAAAUCCUGGGGCUCAACCCUGGAACUGCAUUGGAUACUUCCUUGCUAGAGUACUGGAGAGGAAACUGGAAUUUACGGUGUAGCAGUGAAAUGCGUAGAGAUCGUAAGGAAGACCAGUGGCGAAGGCGAGUUUCUGGACAGUUACUGACGCUGAGGCACGAAGGUCAGGGGAGCAAACGGG
rnacentral:rRNA from 1 species